rnacentral:tRNA from 1 species
GGAGUCGUGGCCGAGCGGCUGAAGGCGGCGGUUUGCUAAACCGUUAUAGGGGGUAAACCCCUAUCGAGGGUUCGAAUCCCUCCGACUCCGCCA